GCUAUACAGAGAAACCCUGUCUUGAAAAACCAAAAAAAAAAAGAAAAAGAAAAUAGCAAACCCUCAUCAUGGUAUUGACGCUAUUACUCCUAGACUUAGGAUAAACUCUGCAGAGCUGGAGAGUUCUGUAUUGAUCCUGGCCAAUUCUAGCUCUGGUUCUUGACCAGUUGAUCUUACUAAAUGUAAGAUGUGUCAGAGAUCUCUGUCCUGUGGGCUCACGGAAUCCUUACAGAACUUCCUCUGCUGCUGCAGGCCCUUUGGCUCCAGUGGUGCACAACUUUGUGUGCUCUUUGUAUUCUUGUUCACUCUGACUUGCUCUCCUGUCUUCCUGGACUUCUAGAGUAGUCAUGCUGGUCAAUUUUUAUUCACUAUAUGCCUGUCUCUCUUCUUCAAGGGCAGUAGUCUCUGUAACACCUGCUUACCCAGCUUCCUUCCUGUCUCAGGUGUCAGAGAGGUGGCAUGAUUGUGGAUCCCCUGAGAUCCGGCUUCCCAAGAGUACUUAUUGACCCAUCCUCAGGCCUCCCAAACCGGCUUCCUCCUGGUGCUGUGCCCCCAGGAGCUCGCUUUGACCCCUUUGGACCCAUUGGGACCAGCCCAUCUGGGUAGGUAUUCACUCAGGUAUGCUGAGAGGUGGGACCUGAUGGCAGCUCCGCUUAGCUUAGUCCAGCACUGCAGCCGAGGUAUCUGACUCCAGGCACAGCUGCCAUGCUGCCUCCCUGGAGGCCUAGGGGGUCUCUCCUCACCUUCUUCCCUUGGUGUCUUAGUUGGAGUUAUCAUUGCUGUGAUGAAACACCAUGAACAAAAAGGAUCUUGGGAGAGAGUUUAUUUGACUCCAUAUCACGGGUUCAUCGUUAAAAGAAGUCAGGACAGGAACUCGAAGAGAGCAAGAACUUGGAGACAGGAGCUGGUGCAGAGGCCAUGGAGGAGUGCUGCUUGCUAGCUUGUUCUCCCUGGCCUGCUCAGCCUGCUUUCUUACAGAACCCACCAGCCCAUGGGUGGCCCCAGUCACAGUGGGCUGGGCUCUCCCCCAUCAAUUAAGGAAAUGUUCUACAGGCUUGCCUGUAGUCUGAUCUUGUGGAGGCAUGUUCUCUCAAUCAAAGUUCCCCCUCUCAGAUGACUAUAAUUUGUAUCAACUUUAUGUAAAACUGUCCAGCACGCUAUUGACCCUGCAAGGACAACACAGGAGAAGAAAUGCUUAUGUCAAUAGUUCUUUUAUAGAUGAGAAGGGCAAGGCCAGGAGACUGGGUGUUUAAGCCAUGGUAAAAUUUAGUUCCAGGCCAUCUGGCCCUAGAGUUCAUGAUCUUAAACUCCAUGUCACUCUGUGGGCCUCCUCCAUACGGGGCAUGUUUCUUGCGUACUCAGCCUCAUUCUCCAAUUCAUUAGACCCUCUUUACAUUGCAGACCUAACCCUGACCAUCUUCCCCCACCGGGCUACGAUGACAUGUACCUGUGAAGGCCUCAAGAAUGUAACAGCUCAGCCUCCCUUUUACUCUCCAGGAGCUGCCACCACUGGCCCCAUCAGCGUCAGUAUUCUUGUGGGCUUGGGGCAGAGGAUUCUGCCCAUGUGUUUGCAGGCCUGCUGGGGUUGCAUCCCCAGCCCUUGUCAGAGCCGAGGUGCCUGCUGCAGCACCCCACCAAGCUGCAUAUAGGUCCCACGGAGAAAUUAGUGUGUCUCAAUCACCAGCUCCUCCCCACUUGCAAGGAAGACUCCGGCAACAUCAGCCCUCCACCCGAUGCAGUCGCGGUCACAGCGCUAUAAGAACAGAACGCAUUUUGGAUGUUAUUAUUAAGAACCAAAUGUCAAUACAGAAUACAUGUUGCCAGUCUUCCACGCUCCUUUUUGUUAAUGCACAAACUCUUAAGAGUGUGAUACUGCAUAGGACUACGGGAUUCCUACAGGGCAUUCUUCUCAAGCACCCUCGAGUCACAAGUUACUCUUGCUCCUGACAUCACUAAGAUGAGCCCCACCCAGGCUUUCUGGGUGGAAGUGUGAUUGGAAUCCAUGAGCCACAAGGAUGAUUUCACCAAAGCAGGCACACUAGAAAAACUGCCAUCUCCUCCCAAGGGCAUGCUCAACCAGUUGCUCUGAGCAGCCUGUUGACUCUCCCUGGGCUGCAGUGGCCUGUAAGUAGAGGAAUAAACAGAACAGACCUGUAGGCUAGUUUCAUAGUGACCCUAAAGAAGUCCUUUCUCUUAGGAGCCUAGUAACGACCUGUGAAAUCAGAGGUGCCUUCACUGGAGCUCUGUAGUGAGCUGUGUGGAUGGGAAUAGCCCUAGGUACUAGAGAAGAGAAAACGAAGGUACGCUGUGUCUAUUACCUGCUCUUCAUGUCCUCCUGGGACUGACAAGAGCAUAGGAACAUGGGUCCAGCCAGGAGGAAGGGGAGCCUUUGUCUUUGGAAGCCUGUGUCCAAGCUCUCCCAAUCUGUAGAAUUAUCUAGAUAUUUGAAGCCCCAGCUGACAGGCACUGGCAGUGCUCUACCCCUGUGCCAUAAAGCUGGAAGAGCACAAUGGCGUACUGUUCCAGGAGACACCAAAUCAAGUACCAAGCGCUUCGUUCCAUGGCCGGCAGCCCAACCAUGUGUGGCUCCAGGAUAGAUGGGGAGAUAGACUGGACUGACAGGACCAGGGCCAGUCUCAGGGAGGCUGGGCUUGGGGCUCAAUCCAGCAUGAGCAGGCUCCCUAGCUGUUGAAGGAUCCCAUGGGUCAGGCACUGACCACCUUGAAGGUGUAGGCCAUUCUGUGCUCUGAGGCCACAGACCAUGCAGAGACAAGGACAAGACGUCCAUUGUGCAUCAACUUCAUCCUUGAGGGCUGGCAGGUGGAUGUUUGGGUUCUGUUGGUAACUGGGUACCUGCAAAAGAGCUUAGGACACUUUGCUCAUUAAAGCAUCCCUUUUUUAUGCAAGGAAGCAUUAAAGGAACAGUGGCUAGAAUUCUCCAGAUAGGUUUGGGAAUGUAGAUAACUUGGACCCUGAUUUAAAGGAAAAGGUAAAAGUUGAAACAUUCUUCCAUUGGGCUUUUUAGUAGC
rnacentral:lncRNA from 1 species